CUCCGAGUUCAAACCUGUUAAGGAAAACAAAUCCAUAGGGUGAGCAAAACGCUCGUGAGGCCAAGAACACACAUGCAAACACAUAGUUCAGAUAACAAGCACAAAUAACAAUUCAGGUAUUUGCUUGCAAGUAAUUAAUAACACCAAUAAACUGUAACCAGAAACAAUUCAAGGAUAUAGAAGCUCUCAGGAGCUAAGUUCCACAUUUGCCGAUACCAUUUAUAUAUCUUUCCGUGAUGACUCUCCGUCAACCGGAUUGAUAUUUUCAUAUCCGUAGUUCACCACUUACUUCCCAUCCGUCCACCAUACACCACUUCGGGCCCGCACUACAUUUAUAAGGCGAUACUAUACGAGUAUGCCAAGCGAGAUCUCUCAAUAGAUCAAGCUUAUCAUUUGAAUCUCAUGGCUCACCGAGGUUCCCGACCAAGCCCAUGCCGGCUCGAGUUCCAAGGUCGGCCUAUGAGUUUGGGCGUCCCCCAUUUGUCAUGUAAAUGUCGAGGAGAUUCACUCCAUCGACGUAUGCAAUCAUAGCAUACCAUUUCAUGUAUUCAAUCAUUUGAUAGGUUUAAGCAGACAUUUCAAGUCAUGUAAAUCAAGCAAAUUAUGUUACGCAUGAGUCAUUCGUUUCAAAUGAGAACGAGUGCGAUCAAGUACACACUCGACUCCAUUUUGUCAAAAUCAGUUAAGCUAAGCAUGAAAUCAGGUGAAUUAAGCAUGAAUCAAGUCUUUAGAGUUCAAGUAGGCAUACACUUGACACUCACCAAGUUAUGCAAGCUAGUAGGUUGGAGGGAGAGUUCAAACUUCCACAGUAGGGUCCUCUUGGAGGUCCUCGUGCGUGCCUGAACAUCGUAUUUUAGAUAAUUACUGUAGGUCCCCAAGUGGUGAGAAAGAUUGAACACGAGUAAGGUUCGAAAAUAAUUGAAACUUCGUUUGACUUGCCUUUGAAGUUGAAUUCUCAAAAGGGUGUAAAACUUAAGUACAAAAAUUGGAUUAUUAUCCUUAAAAUCAUUGGUUGGAAACAAGUACAAGCGAAAAGAUUGCAAAACGAACGAUCGAAAUCGAAGGAAGGUUGGCCACGUCACAAUCCGGCCGGAACCUGGCCGGAUAUCCGGCCGGAUUUCUGGCCGGAUUGGAGGCAGUGGCUAACCUCCUUUUUUUUCAAUUUUGGCCACCAAUCCGGCCGACAAUCCGGCCAGUUUCUGGCCGGAUUCAAGGCCGGAUUCUGGAAAAUUGUUCCUUCGCGGAUUUCCUUUGAAAUUUCAGAAUUUUCGAUUUUUGGUCAAAUCUUUGAAAAAUCAUAACUUCUUUUCUACUAAUCGAAACUUGAUGAAUUUGAUACCGUUGGAAUCAUCUUUGAAAGUACUAAAAGUUCUUAGAAGACACCGUUCCAUGAAUCUAAGUGGAAGGCAUUCAAAAAUGAGCCUAAAGUUGCUGUUCUAGAUUGCUAGGAUUGAGCCGGGUUGGUUUUUCGCUAACUUUGGAAAUUCGGCAAAAAUCACUCGUUGGAAACCGGCCCUUGAAACUUAUAACUCAAUUAGAUCUGCAAGCAAAGUUUUGGAUGGAACAAGCGGCUCAAGAAUCGGAGUUUCGAGUACCGAGAUACGGCAGCUCGAAGUUGGGGAAAAUUCAGGAUUGUUACAAAAUUUCCAGAUUUGGUUCCAACUUUGGACCUUUAGUUAAGUGCCGAAACGGACUUGGAUUGACACCAAAUUUUGCAGUAUAAUACUUCCAUAUGAAGGUUAUUUUUCUAUCAAAUUUCAUGGAAAAAUACCCUCGGAAGGGUAAUCAUUCAAUCAACCAAAAUUUGGAAAAAUCCUUAAAGCAAUCUGUCCAAAGCUAAGGUUUUCAAAAACGAGGCAGUUGCCGUGUAUUGAUCAUAACUCCCUCAAUUUAACUCGAAAUUGGAAAUGGUUGAUAGUGUUAGAAAAUACAUUCACAGGGCUACAACUUCACAGAAGAAAUCGUUACAAGUUUCAGCAUGCAACUGGUUCAAAAUCAAGCCUCAAUUUGCAGCAUCAUCAAAUCAUUUCGGCAGAACGGAGAAACAGGACAGCCAACUUCAGAUGAAUGGUGUGGCUCACACACAUAGAACCAGAAUGUUCAUUAUACACCGUUGGAAACAUAGGAAUGUCUAGUUUCAAAUGCCGCUGACGGAACUUGAUUUUGACGUCGGAGCACGGAGUUAUGGACAAAAUACAACCACUGGUCUGGAUUACGGCGAAACCGUUUUCCAGAUUACCAGUUUUCGAAAUAAUUUCGUUUGAGCAACCAAAACUCAAUAUUUUUCAACGAAAUUUUGUACACAACUUCUACAACAUGUAAACAACAUAAUCAAGCCUUUAAAUCCUCAAUUAUCUGCAGUAAAGUGACCGAACAGAGCAGGGGUAAAAUCGGAACUUUUUGCUUCAAGAACUCAAUAACGUUUCUGGAAAUAAUGCACCUUUAAUCUACUUCCUUAAGCAGUAUUUCAGCAAUAAAAUCAUCAUCAAAUAUCAUCACAGCCAUCAACCCAAAGUGGGAGUUCAUAGAGCCCACAUUUAACAAUUUCCAACGAUAAUAAGUUACCCAUAAGCAUAAUCAAGCUCUUAAGUGUAAGUUAGCCUUUAUUGAACAAGAUCUGAAGAGUGGAUCAUGGUUACCUUACUUGUGUGCUACAAAGUCAGAUUUUGGUGCCCCUAAAACUCCAAGAAGAUCCGUGAAUGUGCAGCUCUUUCUUUGUCCAAGUGAUUGUCCAAGUUGUCUUGAGCUUGUGUGGUGAAUCUAUGAAGGUUUGGCAAGAUUUUUGAGGUGAAGUUUGUAGAGGAAAUGUUUGAGAAGUUUUCGGUUGUUUCCUCUGCAGCAGCUGGCCGACCAUGAAGCUAG
rnacentral:lncRNA from 1 species